GGAUCUAUCCGUCGGUCGGGCCUCACGGUCCGCACUGGUGUGAUGGAUUCCUACCUUCUGAACAACCGGUAAAAACCACUAGCUGGAUGCGCCGGGGAAGCAGAACCAUUACCUUGAAAAAAUUAGAGUGCUCAAAGCAGGCCUAUGCCUGAAUACAUUAGCAUGGAAUAAUAAAAUAGGACGGCAUGGUUCUAUUUUGUUGGUUUCUAGGAUCACCGUA
rnacentral:rRNA from 1 species